rnacentral:rRNA from 1 species
AUGUCAAGGAUGGCGACCACCACCAUACAGCUGGUGCUCAUCGUGUUUCAUUUGCUGGUGGCGGCGGCCUCGACUCAGCGCGUGGCGCUGCCGGGGUGCCGGGACAGGUGCGGCAACGUCACCGUCGUCUACCCCUUCGGCAUCGGCGCCGGCUGCUACCGCGACGCCGGCCAGCAGGGCUUCCAGCUCGAGUGCGACGUCUCCGGCCCCGGCAGCUCCCCGCCGCGCCUCACCGUGUUCGGUUACAAUCACCGCCUGGGGGCCCUCUCCCUCGCGUCCGGCGAGGCCCGCGCCUACCUCAACGCGACGAGGGAGUGCUACAACUCCGCCGGCGUGCUCCUAGACCGGAAAGACACGUACAUGUCCCUCGGCACCAGCCCUUACCUCUUCUCGUCCACCAAGAACCGCCUGGUCGCGCUCGGCUGCCCCAACCUCAGCUUCUUCGUCGACGCCGCCGGCUACUACGUCAGCGGCUGCAUGUCCGUGUGCCGGCCGUCCCGGUACGCCCUGCCGGGCCCGUGCACCGGCGUCGGGUGCUGCCAGAGCGCGAUACCGCCCGGGGUCAGCUUCUUCGAGCCGCACCAGCGCAACUUCCUGCCGCAGCAGGACGACAACUCCGCCUUCAUCAGCAACGCCACGUCCUGCCACUACGUGUUCCUCGUCGAGGCGGACUGGUUCAGCUACAGCGACCGCGUCUUCCUCAACCGCACCGACGACUUCGACGUGCCCGUGGUGCUCGACUGGGCCGUUCGGAACGUCGCCAACUGCAGCGCCGCCAGCCGUAACGCCACAGACUUCGCCUGCCGAAGCGCGGGCAGCGAGUGCUUCGACACCGCGAACGGCCCCGGGUACCGGUGCAACUGUUCCAGGGGCUACCCCUACCUCAGACGACAUCGACGAGUGCCAACUGAAAGGCGAAUACCCGUGCUACGGGGUCUGCACAAAGCCACAAACACGCAGGGUAGCUACACUUGCCAGUGCUCUCCCGGGAAAAGUGGAGAUGCCACCAGGAAGGAUGGCUGCCGGCCAAAGGACAAGUUCGCCUUAGCUCUGAAGAUCGUUACAGGAGUCAGCGUGGGGGCAGUGUUCAUGUGCUUCUGGCUCUACUCGGGGCUGCAGAAGAGAAAACUCAUCAAGGCAAAGCAGAGCUUCUUCGAGCACAACGGAGGCGUCAUCCUGCAGCAGCACAGAUGCACUCCUACAGUGGCGCCGCCAGUGGCGGGUUCAAGAUAUUCUCGGAAGAGGAGCUCAAGAAGGCGACAAACAACUUCGCCGUUGACCAGAUCCUCGGUCGCGGCGGCCACGGCAUUGUGUACAGAGGUGUUCUGGAGGACAAGACCAUAGUGGCCAUCAAAAAGUCCAAGAUGAUGGAGGCCACCGAGACCAAGGAGUUCGCGAGGGGGAUGCUCAUCCUCUCCCAGAUCAACCACCGGAAUGUGGUCAAGCUGCAUGGUUGUUGCCUCGAGGUGGAGGUGCUGAUGCUGGUCUACGAGUACGUCUCCAACGGCACUCUCUACCACUACAUCCAUGGCGGCAAGGGCCACGACACCAACAAGGCACUCGACAUCCGCCUACGGGUAGCGGCGGAGUCGGCCGAGGCGCUGUCGUACAUGCACUCGUCCGCCUCGCCACCAAUCCUCCACGGCGAUGUCAAGACGGCAAACAUCUUGCUUGACGGCAGCCUCACAACCAAAGUCUCUUACUUCGGGGCGUCAAAGCUGGCGCCGAUGAGGCUGAGAUUGCGACACUGGUGCAAGGCACCUGCGGGUACCUGGAUCCGGAGUACCUCAUGACAUGACAGCUGACGGACAAGAGUGACGUGUACAACUUUGGCGUCGUUUUGCUCGAGCUCUGGAAAGAAGGUGCCCUGCUUUGACGGGCUUGAGGAGGACAAGAGCCUCGUUUCCCGAUUCGGGACGGCCUUGAAAGCCGGCCGGCACGGCGAGCUCCUUGAUGACCGGGUGAGAUUGGAGAUGGGCCCGGAGGCGCCGGAAGAAGUAACGUAUCUCGUGAUGCGGUGUGUGAGCAUGAUCAGGGAGGAGCGUCCGUCGAUGAAGGAAGUUGCUGAGAAAUUGGAAGCUCUGAGGAGGUAUCAACGGAACCCAUGGGGUCAGGCUGGUGCUGAUCCGGAUGAGGGGCAAAGCUUGCUUGGUAGAGAGCAACAACGUGAUGUGAAUUAUAAGUUCAGACCGCAAGACUUGCUUGAUCUUGAAGAGGGUAGUACAUACACUUUUAGCUUGUAG